CGGUUUGGUCAGUCUUCCGGGAAAUCUGACGGCUUAACCGUUAGGCUUUCGGGGGAUACUACCAGGCUUGGGACCGGGAGAGGUAAGAGGUACUACGGGGGUAGGAGUGAAAUCUUGUAAUCCCUGUGGGACCACCAGUGGCGAAGGCGUCUUACCAGAACGGGUCCGACGGUGAGGGACGAAAGCUGGGGGCACGAACCGGAUUAGAUACCCGGGUAGUCCCAGCUGCAAACUAUGCUCGCUAGGUGUCAGGGACGGUGCGACCGUUUCUGGUGCCGCAGGGAAGCCGUGAAGCGAGCCACCUGGGAAGUACGGUCGCAAGGCUGAAACUUAAAGGAAUUGGCGGGGGAGCACUACAACGGGUGGAGCCUGCGGUUUAAUUGGACUCAACGCCGGAAAACUCACCGGGGGCGACAGCAAUAUGUAGGUCAAGCUAAAGACUUUACCAGAAUCGCUGAGAGGAGGUGCAUGGCCGUCGUCAGUUCGUACUGUGAAGCAUCCUGUUAAGUCAGGCAACGAGCGAGACCCGUGCCCACUGUUGCCAGCAUGUCCUUCGGGAUGAUGGGUACUCUGUGGGGACCGCCGAUGCUAAUCGGAGGAAGGUGCGGGCUACGGUAGGUCCGCAUGCCCCUAA
rnacentral:rRNA from 1 species